UCAGAGCACAGCACUCACAGAACAGGUUCAUGGUGUGGGGUGCUGUGGUCCCAGGGUGGGUGUCUGGGGACAGCUCCCUUUCUCUGAGGAUGGGACAGUAACAGGUUGCAGCUUGCCUUGCUGCACUGGUGUAGAGAGAGAGACAAGAAAGAACAGAGUUACAGGCUGUGGGAUGCACCUGCAGAAUGCCACGGCAGCACAGAGAACCUUAUCUCCACGGGCUUUGGGAAGAAAUGUAACUUGGGGACGUCCUAGGGAAGGGAACUUGCAGGAAUCUGCCAGAAUACUGCACAGCACGUGAUCACCCCAGAGAAGGACAUCAAGUGCUUCUGCGUGGCAAUGUGUGAUAGGUCACUUUGUGAACAAAAACCAUACAAGGAAAUACUGGUGCUAUAGAAGGGUAUAAAACCAGCUCCUUUGUCUCAAUAAAUUUCUCAGUAUCCCUCUGGGUCUGAGCCCAUUCCUCCAUCGUUCACACACCAGAGGAGCAGCCAGGGACCAGGUCUAGAGCACACUCAUCACAGCUCUCGCUCCUGCCCAGCCCACCAUGGGUGUAGCCUCUGUUGCCAUUGUUGCUUUAGUCGUCAUUGGAAUUGCCAUUAUAUUACAUGCUCAAGAGAACAGAAAGAAUGAAUAGAACAAUCACAGGGAAUCUCACACCCAUUUUCACUAUGGGCGAAAACAAAAGGCCUGAUUCUGCCCUGCAAGCAGCAGCAGACACCAUGCUGUCCUUUGGAAGAACUCCUGGUGACCAUUGCCAGUGAACAGAAAUACAUUUCCUUCCUUCCAAGCAGACUGAUUGGUGUCUUCCCACUGCAGGGACUGGAAAGCCCUCACUGACCACCAGCUGCACCUUUCAAAAAUUUUGGAUUACCUUGAGCUAUAAAUGCUUUGAAAAGUUCAAUAAAGUGCAUUGCAGGUG